UGGAUGAGGACUCCAGCUGUCGCUAUGAUGGUCUACCUGAGAGAUGCCCACUGGAGCUGAGAAAGAUGGAGUGGGGUGAGCAACACACCAGCUGUCUCCAUCAUGGUCUGGCUGAGACAUACGCAGUGGAGCUGAGAAAAGUGGAGUAGCUAGCCUAAUACAACUAAUUAUUUACCUUGGAAGCUGGGGAGACUCUCACACCAGGUCUGUUGUUGGUCUUCCGUGUCCCUUUGUUGCUGAUUGACACAUGCUGUUGACAAAUGGGGGAAUCAUUAGUGGCAUUCCAUAUGCUAAAAUUAAAAAUCACCUUUAAAAAUGGGUACACUGGUGAUUCUUAGAAUUUAUUCACACAAAAUAGGACCAAGCAGUGCAGCUGUAUGCUUCAACAAUUGGAUAGUUGUAACUUUUAUUAAACAAUGUAGAUUUGGAUAUAAAAAUGAAAUUAAGAUAAAAUAUAAAGUUUAGACUUACAGUUGCUGAGAGCAUUUACUGCUCUGCUCUGUGAAACCUGAGGUUGCACAAUAGGACCUGAUAAUAGAAAU